rnacentral:rRNA from 1 species
AAAGUCAGGUAGUAAGGGCGCAGGGCGGAUGCCUUGGCUCUGGGAAGCGAAGAAGGACGUGGCCAGCUGCGAUAAGCCUCGGGGAAGAGCAAACAUCUUUUGAUCCGGGGAUUUCCGAAUGGGGCAACCUGCAUGGCUGUUGAGGCCAUGCACUGUUGAGUGAAUACAUAGCUCAUCAGGGCGAACUUGGGGAACUGAAACAUCUCAGUACCCAAAGGAAUAGAAAUCAACCGAGAUUCUGCUAGUAGCGGCGAGCGAACGCGGAAGAGCCCAAACCACUGGGUACGCCCGGUGGGGUUGUAGGGCCGCCAACAAAGGAUAAUUGGAGGAUUAGCUGAAGUGUCUGGGAAGGCACGGCAUAGAGGGUUAGACCCCCGUAAGCGAAAGUCUGAAGAUGUCCGAGGCGGUACCUGAGUAGGACGGGACACGAGAAAUCCUGUUUGAAUCUGGGGGGACCACCCUCCAAGGCUAAAUAUUACCCAGAGACCGAUAGUGUACCAGUACCGUGAGGGAAAGGUGAAAAGAACCUCGAACAGAGGAGUGAAAUAGUUCCUGAAACCCUGCGUCUACAAGCAGUGGAAGCAAUGCUGAUCUUCGGAUCACGUGCGACCGCGUGCCUUUUGCAUAAUGAGCCAACGAGUUGUCUGUCGGUGGCAGGUUAAGUUUAUAACGAAGCCACAGCGAAAGCGAGUUCGAAAUGAGCGUUCAGUCCCCGGCAACAGACCCGAAACCGAGUGAUCUACCCCUGUCCAGGUUGAAGCCUGGGUAAGACCAGGUGGAAGACCGAACCGUUGAGCCUUAAAACGUUCUCGGAUGAGGUGGGGGUAGGAGUGAAAGGCUAAUCAAACUCGGAGAUAGCUGGUUCUCCCCGAAAUAUAUUGAGGUAUAGCCUCGUGAUAGACCGCCGGAGGUAGAGCACUGGAUGGACUAGGGCCCUCACCAGGGUACCAAACCCAACCAAACUGCGAAUACCGGUGAGUUGUUUCACGGGAGUCAGACAGCGGGAGCUAACUUUCGUUGUCGAAAGGGAAACAACCCAGACCAUCAGCUAAGGCCCCCAAGUCAUGACUAAGUGGGAAAGGAAGUGGGAGCGCCCAGACAACCAGGAGGUUGGCUUAGAAGCAGCCACCCUUUAAAGAAAGCGUAACAGCUCACUGGUCGAGCGAGCCUGCACCGAAAAUUUAACGGGGCUCAAGUCGUGCGCCGAAGCUAUGGGAUUUAUAUUUAUAUAAAUCGGUAGGGGAGCGUUCCCUGUGCAGUGAAGCUGAAUCGAAAGGGUCAGUGGAGCACAGGGAAGUGAGGAUGUUGGCAUAAGUAACGAAAAUGUGGGCGAGAAACCCACACGCCGAAAGCCCAAGGUUUCCCGGGCCAUGUUAUUCAGCCCGGGGUUAGUCGGCACCUAAGACGAGGCCGAAAGGCGUAGUCGACGGAAAACCGGUUCAUAUUCCGGUACUUGCAUGUGCGCGUGAUGGAGGGACGCAGGAGGAUAGGCCGGCCUGGUGAUGGAUAUCCAGGUUCAAGGCCGUAGGCGGAAGUCCCAGGUAAAUCCGGGACUUUAUCUAACGCCGAGAGUCGAUGACGAGAGGCUUUGCUUCGCAAAGCGGUCGAUUCCACACUGCCAAGAAAAGCUUCUAAGCAUAGCAGAUGCAAACCGUACCCCAAACCGACACAGGUGGGCGGGUAGAGAAUACCAAGGCGCUUGAGGGAAAUCAUGUUAAGGAACUCUGCAAAAUAACUCCGUAACUUCGGAAGAAGGAGUGCCUGCAGCGGUGAAGGGACUUGCUCCUGGAGCUUAAGCGGGCCGCAGUGACCAGGCCCAGCCGACUGUUUAGCAAAAACACAGCACUCUGCUAAAUCGCAAGAUGAUGUAUAGGGUGUGACGCCUGCCCGGUGCCGGAAGGUUAAUGGGAGGGGUUAGGUCUUCGGACCGAAGCUCCGAACUGAAGCCCCGGUAAACGGCGGCCGUAACUAUAACGGUCCUAAGGUAGCGAAAUUCCUUGUCGGGUAAGUUCCGACCUGCACGAAUGGCGUAACGAUCUGGGCGCUGUCUCAAUGUGAUUCUCAGUGAAAUUGAAAUGGCGGUGAAGAUACCGUCAACCCGCGGCAAGACGGAAAGACCCCGUGCACCUUUACUGCAGCUUGGCAGUGAACUUGGGAAAGAUUUGUGUAGGAUAGGUGGGAGGCUUUGAAGGGGGGGCGCUAGUCCCUCUGGAGCCACCCUUGAAAUACCACCCUGAUUUUUUCUGUGUUCUAACUUAGUCCCGUUAUCCGGGACAAGGACCCUGCCUGGUGGGCAGUUUGACUGGGGCGGUCGCCUCCUAAAGAGUAACGGAGGCGCGCAAUGGUUCCCUCAGCCGGUUUGGAAAUCCGGCGCAGAGUGCAAAGGCACAAGGGAGCUUGACUGCAAGAGCGACAGCUCGAGCAGGUACGAAAGUAGGUCUUAGUGAUCCGGUGGCCCCGUGUGGAAGGGCCAUCGCUCAACGGAUAAAAGGUACGCCGGGGAUAACAGGCUAAUCGCGCCCAAGAGUUCAUAUCGACGGCGCGGUUUGGCACCUCGAUGUCGGCUCAUCGCAUCCUGGGGCUGAAGCAGGUCCCAAGGGUAUGGCUGUUCGCCAUUUAAAGCGGUACGCGAGCUGGGUUCAGAACGUCGUGAGACAGUUCGGUCCCUAUCUGCCGCGGGCGCAGGAGAUCUGAGGAGGUCUGCCCUUAGUACGAGAGGACCGGGGUGGACAGACCUCUGGUGAUCCGGUUGUUCCGCCAGGAGCAUUGCCGGGUAGCUACGUCUGGAACGGAUAACCGCUGAAAGCAUCUAAGCGGGAAGCCGGCUCCAAGAGCGAUCUCCCGGACCAUUAGGUCCCCAAAGGCCGCAGGAAGAUUACCUGUUUGAUAGGCCGGAAGUGGAAGCAUGGCAACAUGUGAAGCUGACUGGUACUAAUUGGCCGGGCGACCUGACUU